UACGGGGGGGCAAGCGUUGUUCGGAAUUACUGGGCGUAAAGGGCUCGUAGGUGGCCAACUAAGUCGGACGUGAAAUCCCAGGCUCAACCUGGGAACUGCGUCCGAUACUGGAUGGCUUGAAUCCGGGAGAGGGAUGCAGAAUUCCAGGUGUAGCGGUGAAAUGCGUAGAUAUCUGGAGGAAUACCGGUGGCGAAGGCGGCAUCCUGGACCGGCAUUGACGCUGAGGAGCGAAGCCAGGGAGCAAACGGG
rnacentral:rRNA from 1 species